AUGGAAACUUGUUUGUAUGCGAUUCGAUUGUUUGUGUUGAGAUAAGAAAAAUAAUUUUUAAUGUAAAGUUAAUUAGUAUAUUGAAGUUUAAUUUAAGACUAUAGUUUAAAAGUACCGUGGGGGAAAGUUUAAAUAUAAUGAAAAAUUUAAUAUUGAGAAAGAAAAUAUAAAAUUUUGUACCUUUUGUAUCAGGGAGAAUUUAAAUUCUCUGAGUAGAUCGGAUAUCCCGAAAAAAGAAUAGCUAAAGAAUUAAGAUCGUCUUAGUAGAAAAUAAGUUUGAAAUAGUUUUUUAGUGGUGAAAUGCUAGUCGAGUCUUUUAAUAUCUGGUUAUUCCAAAAAAAAAUUUAAUUUUGUUUGAGUGUAGGUAGAUUUAAUUCAAAUAAAUAGCUGGAGGGAAAAGCUUCUAGUUAAUUAAUUGAGCAUGGGGCGAUGUAAAUUGAGUUUUACUUUAACUAAGCUUAGAAGUAGCUAUGUUAGUAAAGUGUUUUAACUAAAAUUUUUAAUGGUUGAUAUUUGUAUGGCUCUUGUUCGUGUGAGUAUGGAAUUUUGAUAAGAAAUAUCGUAUUAUUGGAAAUAAUGAUUUUAUUAGUAAAAUAGUCUUUGUGGGAAGUUGACUAGAGUGGAAUAAAGAUCGCUUUUUGUUAGCAAAUUAAGGAUGCAACAAAGGAACUCGGCAAAUGAAAUUUCUGCCUGUUUAUCAAAAACAUGUCUUUACGGGAGUUUAUGUAAAGUCUAGCCUGCCCAGUGAUGUCUAAAUUUAACGGCCGCGGUAGUAUGACCGUGCUAAGGUAGCAUAAUAAUUUGUCCUUUAAUUGAGGACUGGUAUGAACGGUUGAACGAGAAAUUAACUGUCUCUGUUGCAAAAUUUGAAUUUUACGUUUAAGUGAAAAGGCUUAAAUAAAAUAGGGGGACGAUAAGACCCUAUAAAUCUUUAUAUUUUAUUUAAUAAAUUUUAAAAAUUAGUUAUACAUUUAGCGAUAUUAAGUCAAAUAUUUUGUUGGGGCGACAGGAGUAUAAUAAGUAACUGCUUUGUUUGUAAAGUUAAUUAUUUUUAUUGUGUAGAGUUAAAUUGAUCCUUUCUAGAGAAAUCAGAUCAAGUUACUUUAGGGAUAACAGCGUAAUCUUUUUUGAGAGUCCAUAUCGAAAAAAUGGUUUGCGACCUCGAUGUUGAAUUAAAGAUCCUUGAUGGCGUAGGGGCUAUUAGAGGAGGUCUGUUCGACCUUUAAAUCUUUACAUGAUUUGAGUUCAGACCGGCGUAAGCCAGGUCGGUUUCUAUCUCCUAUGGAAAAUAUGACUCUUUUAGUACGAAAGGAUUUGAGAGUUGAAAUAAUUUUUUUAGUGAAGAGU
rnacentral:rRNA from 1 species